rnacentral:tRNA from 1 species
GGGGAUAUAACUCAGUUGGUAGAGUAUAUGCUUUGCAAGCAUGAGGUCAAGAGUUCGAAUCUCUUUAUCUCCUU